rnacentral:rRNA from 1 species
GAUGAACGCUGGCGGCGUGCUUAAUACAUGCAAGUCGAACGAAGCACUUUAUUUGAUUUCCUUCGGGACUGAUUAUUUUGUGACUGAGUGGCGGACGGGUGAGUAACGCGUGGGUAACCUGCCUUGUACAGGGGGAUAACAGUUGGAAACGGCUGCUAAUACCGCAUAAGCGCACGGCAUCGCAUGAUGCAGUGUGAAAAACUCCGGUGGUAUAAGAUGGACCCGCGUUGGAUUAGCUAGUUGGUGAGGUAACGGCCCACCAAGGCGACGAUCCAUAGCCGACCUGAGAGGGUGACCGGCCACAUUGGGACUGAGACACGGCCCAAACUCCUACGGGAGGCAGCAGUGGGGAAUAUUGCACAAUGGGCGAAAGCCUGAUGCAGCGACGCCGCGUGAGCGAAGAAGUAUUUCGGUAUGUAAAGCUCUAUCAGCAGGGAAGAUAAUGACGGUACCUGACUAAGAAGCACCGGCUAAAUACGUG